rnacentral:rRNA from 1 species
UUCGGGUGCCGACGAGUGGCGAACGGGUGAGUAACGCGUGGAUACCUGUCCUUUGGUGGGGAAUAACGUCUAGAAAUGGACGCUAAUACCGCAUAAGCCCUGUGGGGGAAAGAUUUAUCGCCAUAGGAGGGGUCCGCGUCGGAUUAGCUUGUUGGUGGGGUAACGGCCUACCAAGGCGACGAUCCGUAGCUGGUCUGAGAAGAUGAUCAGCCACACUGGGACUGAGACACGGCCCAGACUCCUACGGGAGGCAGCAGUGGGGAAUAUUGCGCAAUGGAGGAAACUCUGACGCAGCGGCGCCGCGUGGGUGAAGAAGGCCUUAGGGUUGUAAAGCCCUUUCAGUGGGAAAGAUGAUGACGGUACCCACAGAAGAAGCCCCGGCUAACUCCGUGCCAGCAGCCGCGGUAAUACGGAGGGGGCCAGCGUUGUUCGGAAUUACUGGGCGUAAAGGGCGCGUAGGCGGUUGAUCAAG